rnacentral:rRNA from 1 species
UAUAUUCGCAUAUGUAUAUAGCUCUCGCCACGAUGAAGAAUGUAGCGAAAUGCGAUACUUGGUGUGAAUUGCAGAAUCCCGUGAAUCAUUGAGUCUUUGAACGCAACUUGCACCCGAGGUCGUAGGUUGAGGGCACGCCUGCCUGGGUGUCA